AACUUCCACAUACAGGCCAAGAAUCUUGAAGGUUUUUAAAUUAGUGAGUCUAGUGAUGUGAUUGGUCCCAUAACUCCCAAGCCCAAAUACACCAAUGUUUUGCCACCUGGUGUACCAGAGGCUGUCAACAAUUCUAUAACUUAUCUGAAAUGGGAACCACCUAAACAUAAUGGUGGCUGUAAAAUUACAGACCUCCUUGUAGAAGAGAGGUUUAAGGGAACAGAGAAAUGAGUACCCCUGCACUGACCCCUCUUUACUGUCACCGAUCUUCCUCAGGACUCAGAGUGGGAGUUUAGAGUUACAGCUGUUAACUUUGCUGGAAACUGUGAGCCCAGUCUGUGCUCACCAGCAUACAAAAUCCAGGAGAAGAUUGAGUCUUUUGCAAUUGAGCAGGAUGAGGAAUCACACCAAUCAUUUGUAAAUGAAAGCAGCAGUCAUGAUGUUGUCAAUGAGAAUGAAUUUUAAAUAGGACAUGAUACAGGGCCACUUUUAAGUGAUAAAGCAGACGAGUAUGAUGAUGGUAAUGAUGAUGAAUCAUACCAUCCUUCAAGCGAUGAAGAAAGCUGUGAUGA